rnacentral:rRNA from 1 species
AGUGAACGCUGGCGGUAGGCCUAACACAUGCAAGUCGAACGGCAGCACAGUAAGAGCUUGCUCUUACGGGUGGCGAGUGGCGGACGGGUGAGGAAUACAUCGGAAUCUACUUUUUCGUGGGGGAUAACGUAGGGAAACUUCCGCUAAUACCGCAUCCGACCUCCGGGUGAAAGCAGGGGAUCUUCGGCCCUUGCGCGAUUGAAUGAGCCGAUGUCGGAUUAGCUAGUUGGCGGGGUAAAGGCCCACCAAGGCGACGAUCCGUAGCUGGUCUGAGAGGAUGAUCAGCCACACUGGAACUGAGACACGGUCCAGACUCCUACGGGAGGCAGCAGUGGGGAAUAUUGGACAAUGGGCGCAAGCCUGAUCCAGCCAUACCGCGUGGGUGAAGAAGGCCUUCGGGUUGUAAAGCCCUUUUGUUGGGAAAGAAAAGCAGCAGGUUAAUACCCCGCUGUUCUGACGGUACCCAAAGAAUAAGCACCGGCUAACUUCGUG